rnacentral:rRNA from 1 species
CGUUGUGCGGAAUUAUUGGGCGUAAAGCGCGCGCAGGCGGUUCCUUAAGUCUGAUGUGAAAGCCCCCGGCUCAACCGGGGAGGGUCAUUGGAAACUGGGGAACUUGAGUGCAGAAGAGAAGAGUGGAAUUCCACGUGUAGCGGUGAAAUGCGUAGAGAUGUGGAGGAACACCAGUGGCGAAGGCGACUCUUUGGUCUGUAACUGACGCUGAGGCGCGAAAGCGUGGGGAGCAAACAGGAUUAGAUACCCUGGUAGUCCACGCCGUAAACNAUGAGUGCUAAGUGUUAGAGGGUUUCCNCCCUUUANUGCUGCAGCAAACGCAUUAAGCACUCCGCCUGGGGAGUACNGCCGCAAGGCUGAAACUCAAAGGAAUUGANGGGGGCCCGCACAANCGCNGGAGCANGUGGUUUNAUUCUAAGCANCGCGAAGAACCUUACCCGGUNUNGANAUCUCCUGACNACCCNCCNAUAUANUGCGUUUNUCUUCUUNNGACAGCAUGACNANUGGUGCNUCUUUGUUUGUCNUUCUCCCUCNUGUUUAUANNUUAUUUGUU